AUUGAACGCUGGCGGCAGGCCUAACACAUGCAAGUCGAGCGGAUGAAGGGAGCUUGCUCCUGGAUUCAGCGGCGGACGGGUGAGUAAUGCCUAGGAAUCUGCCUGGUAGUGGGGGAUAACGUCCGGAAACGGGCGCUAAUACCGCAUACGUCCUGAGGGAGAAAGUGGGGGAUCUUCGGACCUCACGCUCUCAGAUGAGCCUAGGUCGGAUUAGCUAGUUGGUGGGGUAAAGGCCUACCAAGGCGACGAUCCGUAACUGGUCUGAGAGGAUGAUCAGUCACACUGGAACUGAGACACGGUCCAGACGCCUACGGGAGGCAGCAGUGGGGAAUAUUGGACAAUGGGCGAAAGCCUGAUCCAGCCAUGCCGCGUGUGUGAAGAAGGUCUUCGGAUUGUAAAGCACUUUAAGUUGGGAGGAAGGGCAGUAAGUUAAUACCUUGCUGUUUUGACGUUACCAACAGAAUAAGCACCGGCUAACUUCGUG
rnacentral:rRNA from 1 species